rnacentral:tRNA from 1 species
GUUUCUGUAGCUCAACUGGAAGAGCGCCACACUGUUAAUGUGGAUGAUAAGUGUUCGACUCACUUCGGAAACGCUA